GAGAAGAGAGGAGCCUACAGGAGUGGAUCGUCUUAGCGGAGUUUUCCAGAAGUUUAAGUGUAGUAACGUGAGUCUACAGAUUAUUAGUAAUGUAUUCUGCAAAACCUGAAACUUUCAUACAAAGUUUGGAGGUAUGGAACUGUACUGACUGCUCUUUGGACAACUGAGUAGCGAUUAACAGACACGGACGUUGCGCUGCGGUUAGCUAGCACAGCUUGUUCGAGUAGCUUCGUCUGGACUGUUUUGGGAUUGUUUACUGAAAACAAGAAGCAGCUACCAGAUAGCGCUCUGAGCCACCAUGGAUGCUCAGAGUUCCUCUGGAGGACCUGCUGGACGUCACACCUUCACCUGCAUCCUGCUUCCUGCACUGGAAAAAAAUGCCCCUCUCAAAACAAGCAAAAAAACUUAUUUCGAGGAACUUUUACCUUGAAAUAAGUGAACAAAUCUGCCAAUAGAACAAGUGAAAAAUGGCUUGGUAAGAUUUCUUGAAAUAAGAUGUGAUAUUUAGAAUAUUGAGAUGUUAAAAUUAGCUGGGAAAACUUAUUUUAAGCUAUAUUUUACCAGGAUUGUCAAGCUUAGUUGUCUUAAAUAAGCCAGAAAAAAAAAAAAAAGCAGUUUUUCACUCAAAAAUAGAUUUUUGCUUUCAUGUAACCUCCUAAUUUGAGAUGUAUUAACCCUCCUGCUGUCUUCAUUUCCGGGCACCAAAAAAUAUUGUUUCCCUGUCUGAAAAAAAAUCCAAAAUAAUCUGCAACAAAAAUUCCCCAAAUGGCUGAAAAUUUGCAAAACCUUCAGGAAGAAAAUUCCAAUAAUUGCUUAAAAGUUUCCCUUAAAAGUUUUAUUUAAAAAAAAAAAAAAAUCCCCCAAAUUUGGCAAGAAAUUGUAAAUAUUGUCAAAAAAUGAGUAAAAAUCUUCCAAAAAAAUCCUAAAAAUGUCUAAAGUGAUUACAUAUAUAUAAAUAAAACUCCAAUUUUUUUCCUUAAGAACAUUCACAAAAAAAUUAACCAAAAUCCAGCGAAAUUCGCUGGAUUUUAGUUGAUUUUUUUGUGAAUCUUCUUAAGAAACAUUUUUAACGUUUCUUUUUUCCACCAAAAAAUGUUCAAAGAUUUCCCAAAAAUGUGCAAAAUGUUUACAUCAGAAGUUUCACUGUGAAAUUUUUUUUCCGCCUCAUUUUCAAACUUUAAAACGAGUCAAUUUUGACCCACAGGACGACACGAGGGUUAAACAUAUUUUGUGUUUUCUUGUAAAAUUCAACUCAAAACAAGAUAAUUUCCAGAUUGUUUGACUUAACAAGAUAUUUAAGAUGCGUUGUCUUAAAACAAGUGAAUUUAUCUUAAAUCGAGUGGGAUGAGACAUUUUAACUAAAAAUAAGACAAAUAGACUUGGUAAGAUUUUGAGUUUUUGCAGUGUGCUUCUUUUCUCCCAUCUGAUGCUCUUUGGACCACACACUCACACAUCUGGAGAGGUACUACCUGGAUUUUUGUUGUUUUCACUCGUUGGAGGAGAAGUGAGUAGUGAUUUCAACAAACUAAAGUGGAACAGGCCUGCAACGCUUUAUUGUAUUUCAGAGUUAUUUAUUUUGCCUGCUUAGUAUAGUGUUGUGUUUAUUGUUUAAAAUGUCCAAGUGUGAGGUGAAUUGCAUACAUUUAAAAAGAAAAUUGAAAGGAAAUAUUUUAUUUUUAUUAAUUUUUUUUAUUAAAAUAAGGAAUUAUUUGUGUACUUUAAUACUGUUUAUGUGUGUUAUUGUUGUUUAUAAAGAAAAGUUACAAAGUUUAAAGGUCCUUAGUUGUUUCUAGUGUUUAGAGUUACUUAACCUACCUAAAACUAAUAUUACAUUGAAUUGGCAGAUUUUCUUCCUUGAAAUAAGCCUUUUUUCUUGUUUUGAGAGUGGCAUUUUUUCCAGUAAGGUUUUCUAUCCAGUAGCAAAGAACCAGUGAUUGUGGUUCCAUGUCUCAGUUCAGAGCAGCUGCAUUUCUGCAUGUUCAUGUUUACGCUCUUAUACCUUCAUCUUCUUCCUGCGGAUCUCUGCGUGUGUCAAACUGUCGGCUUUGGCCAGUAAUGGAAUGAUGUUGACUUUCUCAUGCAAGGCCUUCAUACACUCCACAUCCAGAGGUCGAAGGCUGAAGUAAGACGUGUUGUCGUACCCGUGGCCAAACGGAGAGAUGAAGUAGAGGCAGCAGUGGACUCUGUUGUCCUGGAUGUUCCUUCUGUUCAACCCGCUCUCAUCUCUGAAGUACUGCUCAAACUGCUGGUCGAUGUAGUCCUCCAGGUCCUUAAAGCUGACGCAAACACAUAAAGACUCUGUGAGGAGGAGAACAAUGACUUCACCAUUCUGUGUUGUUGACGGCAUCUCCGAAUCCCGGUGUGUCGAUGAUGGAGAGCCUCAGUUUGAUUCCUUUCUCCUCGAUGCUGAUGGUGUGUUUGAUGAUGUCGAUUGUUUGGCUAAUCCGCUCUGCAGACACAUACAUGUGCAGGCGGCAGAUCGAGUUGUGUCGUCGACAGGAGCAUCCGGGUCUGCGGGGAAGUUGCGGCUGACUUCACUUUUGGAGUUACAUACAGUGUUUGAGGCCUACCUCGUCUGGGGAAAUAUUGCGGACUGGGAUGCCGUUGACCUCCAGUACUCGAUCACCCACGUGAACAGAAGACAGCAGGUCAUCGCUGAGGACAGCUGAGUCUAACCUGAGGCAGAGGAACAGUGAUUGAAUGGAUGGAGAAAAGGUGAGUGACUAGAAGGCUUUUGUCUUGGCUGAAGUCAGUGACAACAGUUAGGCCUCGUCGACCGACUGCAUGGGGAGGGAGAGACACCAGCGCCACCAUGUGGGGACUCUUGGCAGUCCACAGCUGUCUUACCUGGAUAGCCUCCACCAGCCACCCCUCCAAAACCAGGGCCAGCACCCCCUGCUGGAACAGUAAACACAUUACAGCCAGCAAAGCAUCUCCGGUCUGAAUCAGCCGGCAGCCACCUGGUCCUCCUCCUACUCCCUGGCCUGGUCCUCCAGGGCCUCCUGCCUGCCCUCCUACACCACCUAAACAGAAACUCACCUGGACCGCCUCCACUGAUUCCUACUGUUCCAGUACUAGGAAGGCCUCCUGCUACACCACCUGAUGCACAUAGGUGUGUUUGAGGU